rnacentral:rRNA from 1 species
CCUACGGGAUGCAGCAGUGGGGAAUAUUGGACAAUGGGGGGAACCCUGAUCCAGCGACGCCGCGUGAGUGAAGAAGUAUUUCGGUAUGUAAAGCUCUAUCAGCAGGGAAGAAAGAAAUGACGGUACCUGACUAAGAAGCCCCGGCUAACUACGUGCCAGCAGCCGCGGUAAAACGUAGGGGGCAAGCGUUAUCCGGAUUUACUGGGUGUAAAGGGAGCGUAGACGGCGAUGCAAGUCUGAAGUGAAAGGCGGGGGACCAACCCCCGGACUGCUUUGGAAACUGUAUGGCUGGAGUGCAGGAGAGGUAAGUGGAAUUCCUAGUGUAGCGGUGAAAUGCGUAGAUAUUAGGAGGAACACCAGUGGCGAAGGCGGCUUACUGGACUGUAACUGACGUUGAGGCUCGAAAGCGUGGGGAGCAAACAGGAUUAGAUACCCCAGUAGUC